rnacentral:rRNA from 1 species
UACAGAGGGUGCAAGCGUUGUCCGGAAUCACUGGGCGUAAAGGGCGCGUAGGCGGCCUGAUAAGUCGGGGGUGAAAUGCUGCGGCUUAACCGCAGCACGGCCUUCGAGACUGUCGGGCUUGAGCACGGUAGAGGCAGAUGGAAUUCCCGGUGUAGUGGUGAAAUGCGUAGAUAUCGGGAGGAACACCAGUGGCGAAGGCGGCUUCCUGGCCCGUUCUUGACGCUGAGGCGCGAAAGCUAGGGGAGCAAACGGG